rnacentral:rRNA from 1 species
GGGGGCUAGCGUUGCUCGGAAUCACUGGGCGUAAAGGGUGCGUAGGCGGGUUUUUAAGUCAGGGGUGAAAUCCUGGAGCUCAACUCCAGAACUGCCUUUGAUACUGAAAAUCUUGAGUCCGGGAGAGGUGAGUGGAACUGCGAGUGUAGAGGUGAAAUUCGUAGAUAUUCGCAAGAACACCAGUGGCGAAGGCGGCUCACUGGCCCGGUACUGACGCUGAGGCACGAAAGCGUGGGGAGCAAACAGG